rnacentral:rRNA from 1 species
CGAACCGACUAAUGUUGAAAAAUUAGCGGAUGACCUGUGGCUGGGGGUGAAAGGCCAAUCAAACCGGGAGAUAGCUGGUUCUCCCCGAAAGCUAUUUAGGUAGCGCCUCGUGAAUUCAUCUCCGGGGGUAGAGCACUGUUUCGGCUAGGGGGCCAUCCCGGCUUACCAACCCGAUGCAAACUGCGAAUACCGGAGAAUGUUAUCACGGGAGACACACGGCGGGUGCUAACGUCCGUCGUGAAGAGGGAAACAACCCAGACCGCCAGCUAAGGUCCCAAAGUCAUGGUUAAGUGGGAAACGAUGUGGGAAGGCCCAGACAGCCAGGAUGUUGGCUUAGAAGCAGCCAUCAUUUAAAGAAAGCGUAAUAGCUCACUGGUCGAGUCGGCCUGCGCGGAAGAUGUAACGGGGCUAAACCAUGCACCGAAGCUGCGGCAGCGACACUUUAGUGUUGUUGGGUAGGGGAGCGUUCUGUAAGCCGUUGAAGGUGUCCUGUGAGGGGUGCUGGAGGUAUCAGAAGUGCGAAUGCUGACAUAAGUAACGAUAAAGCGGGUGAAAAGCCCGCUCGCCGGAAGACCAAGGGUUCCUGUCCAACGUUAAUCGGGGCAGGGUGAGUCGACCCCUAAGGCGAGGCCGAAAGGCGUAGUCGAUGGGAAACGGGUUAAUAUUCCCGUACUUGGUGUUACUGCGAAGGGGGGACGGAGAAGGCUAUGUUGGCCGGGCGACGGUU